ensembl:rRNA 5S_rRNA 5S ribosomal RNA
GCUUACGGCCAUACCACCCUGAGAACACACGAUCUCUUCCAAUCUCGUAAGAUAGGUAGGCUCGGGCCUGGUUAGUACUUGGAUGGGAGACUGCGUCGGAAUACCAGGUGCUUUAUGCC